rnacentral:rRNA from 1 species
UACGAAGGGGGCUAGCGUUGCUCGGAAUUACUGGGCGUAAAGCGCACGUAGGCGGAUUGUUAAGUCGGGGGUGAAAUCCUGGAGCUCAACUCCAGAACUGCCUUCGAUACUGGCGAUCUCGAGUCCGGGAGAGGUGAGUGGAACUGCGAGUAUAGAGGUGAAAUUCGUAGAUAUUCGCAAGAACACCAGUGGCGAAGGCGGCUCACUGGCCCGGUACUGACGCUGAGGUGCGAAAGCGUGGGGAGCAAACAGG